rnacentral:rRNA from 1 species
UAAUAAGACUUUAAUUGAGUGCUAAGAGAAUGGAUUUUCAAAAAAAUUCUUUUUUAAGUUUAAAAAUUAAAGUUAUUUUUAUUUGUGAAGAAACAAUAAUAAAAAUUAAAGACAAGAAGACCCUAUGAAUUUUUAUAAACUUUAAUAUUUAAUUAAAUAUUAAAGUUUAUUUAAUUGGGGCGAUUGAGAAAGAUAAAAAACUUUUUUUUUAUUUAAAGAGAUCCAUUAUUAAUGAUUUUAUGUAAAAAAUACUCUAGGGAUAACAGCGUAAUAAUUUUAGAUAGAUCUUAUAGAAAAAAUAGUUUGCGACCUCGAUGUUGGAUUAGGAUACUUGUUUAAUGAAGAAGUUAAAUAAAG